rnacentral:lncRNA from 1 species
ACUGCUAAAGAAUUAACUUGGCCCUAGCAGAUGCUGUAAAUAUUGAUGUGGUCAUGGUGGGCUGGUGCAGGAACUUCAAGGGAGCAUCGCCACCUGUCUUUUGUGUUUUUCGUUUUUUUCUGGCUUACCAAGCAUCUUCUCGCAAUAAGAGUAGUGUUUUUGGUGUUGUGAAAGGGUAAUUUACUUAUACAGAAGAAAUCAUUUUUCUCUUUACUGUCCUUUUUGGAAAACAUAUCUAAAGUAAAA